CCUACGGGAGGCAGCAGCUAAGAGUCUUCCGCAAUGGACGAAAGUCUGACGGAGCGACGCCGCGUGGGUGAUGAAGGCCGGAAGGUUGUAAAGCCCUUUUCUAUCUGAGGAAUAAGCACAGGAGGCAAUGCCUGUGUGAUGACGGUAGGGUAGGAAUAAGCCCCGGCCAAUUACGUGCCAGCAGCCGCGGUAACACGUAUGGGGCGAGCGUUGCUCGGAAUCAUUGGGCGUAAAGGGCGCGCAGGCGGUUAUGCAAGCCUGGUGUGAAAGACCGCAGCUCAACUGCGGGAGCGCGCUGGGAACUGUAUGACUAGAGUUCAAGAGGGGAAGCUGGAAUUUCUGGUGUAGGGGUGAAAUCUGUAGAGAUCAGAAAGAACAUCGGUGGCGAAGGCGAGCUUCUGGCUAUGAACUGACGCUGAGGCGCGAAAGCGUGGGGAGCGAACAGGAUUAGAUACCCUGGUAGUCCACGCCGUAAACGAUGUGCACUAGGUGUUGGGUCGAUGAAGGCUCAGUGCCGUAGCUAACGCGUUAAGUGCACCGCCUGGGGAGUAUGCUCGCAAGGGUGAAACUCAAAUGAAUUGACGG
rnacentral:rRNA from 1 species